ensembl:lncRNA
AGGUGGUCGCGUUGAGCUAAUGCACGGCUGGAGCAAAGCAUGCUGGGAGUCAAGGAUCUGCUGAGGGGCCUGCGGUCUUUGUAUGUGCAGUGUGCUGACGUGCAGUCUGGUGUGUUUACAGACUCACAGGAAGCUUGUGUUUUGGACGAUGGAUUAUACGUUGGUGAUGAAAAGAUGGAGCUCGGUGUGACUCAUAAAGAUUGGUUUCUCAGCAACGGCAGAAAACCGUAAUGUUAUUCAUCGGUUUAUGAACAAAGCCCAGCAUGUAGUCAAGCGGCCUAAAAGAAAAAUAUGUCCAGUGUGCUGCAAUAAUGUGAAAAUGAAAACUGAAGUCGCCGUGUACGAUCGUGCCGCUGCUGCGUGUAUUUAAAUGUUUUAUGGUUUGCGUGAGUUACAGUUACACUCGGUCUUCCAAUGAAUACAUGUGUUUA